ensembl:lncRNA
AGACACUGUUCUGGAUAAGCAGCUGUUGUGUUACUUUGCUUCAGUGAUUUUUAUCAUUUAAACUUAAGAUCUAGGCUGUAUCUGUCAACAGUCUGUGACUUCCCAAAGGCUUUGUGCAGUCCUGCUGCUGCUCAUAGACUUGGAACCAUUUCAGAGCAGGUGAGGUGCAAUUACUGCGGAUGGUUUCUACUCUGGUGUACUAGAGGUGGUUGCUGUUUACAGUUGCAGUUCGAAGGAAAUCUUGCUCCUGCAGAUUUCAGGACUGUCAGGAAGGAUGAGGAGGCAGACAUUGACAGAAUCAGUUAUAUUCAGAAGGCAACCAUGCCAGAAGGUGUCAACCACACUGGAAUGCAGUGGAAGAAAAGGAGCUAAUAAUUAUAAGCACUCUCAUUAUUUAGAAAGUACACUACUCAAAAUGAAUUCAGCUUUCUGAUGACAAGUGAUUUCUCUCACCCCAAGGAGCAUUUCAAAGCAUCCACACAACCAUCUGCAUGAACCCCAGGAGGCGAAGGUAUGGGACCCUCCUUCCAGCUGUGGUGCAGAAUUUAAAAUUGACUGAGAGGUAACUGCAAGUGUUGGAGUUGAGAGAGCUGUUCAAGGAUUCAGUCAUGGAUGUUUGAUAUCUGUCAAAGAGAGCCGUAUGCUUCAACCAUUGACAGGAAAAGGAGUCACUGGUUUCUUCCAAGCUUAAGCAUCGCUUGAAGUAUUUUUAAGGGAAUUAGGGCAAAUCAAACAGCUGUGGCUGCUAAAACUCAGGCAGCUAACAACUACAUGAAUCUAACAAUCUGGCAAGCAAGAAGGACUGGCUGACAAUCUAUCUGCAAUUUGUGCUUUAAGUGCAGUCUCUAGUUGUAUAUACUAAACCCUGGACUGAUGCCACAGUUGCAGAGCCAGAAGAGAGCAGUUGCUGCAGAUGAAGCUCCAUCCUCAUUCUGGUCAGCCACAAUCUGAAUGCAUGCAGCUCUCCACUUUCUCUCAGUGGAAUUCUUUAGCCUUUUAGAAAAUCCCACUGGUUUAUCUUCAGUCAAGAGUUUGUGCCUCUGGAGUUCCACAUCUCAACCAGAAAGAGCAUGUUUAUUUUGUUGCUGUUACAGAAAAAUAAUGAGUCCUGCAUUUUCACCAAUAGUAAGUGAAACUGAUAAUACGAACAUGAGAAAAUACUACAAAUCUGAUUCAUUAAUCUAGACGUGCUUUCGUGUUGUUUGGCGUCUGCUGCAUUUGGCACCAAAGAUGCCUCUAAUCUUUCCUUGAGGGACCAAAUCAAAGGAGAUGAGGUGGAAGUGCAGUAUUGGCUACAUGGGCCUUCCUUCUUGGAGAGGGAAUUGAGUG